AAGAGAUUCUUCAUUCAUUUCGUUUCAUAUUCUUUUUUCUUUCUUUUUUUUUUUUCUUUUCGAUUUCAAGUACGAGGAGAGGAACGUGGGUUUUGGACGAAGUACGGUUUCGAGGUCACCGUGUAAAAUUAGACAUGCCGGAUAAAACGAAAUCUACUACAUAUGUACGUGGAGAGCGUAGAGACGCAAGCUGAAACGAACGAAGGCGGAAACAUUUGGAGUUGUUACGCGAAAGAUGGCCGCAAACUGAGGCCUUCUAUAAAAUGGCGCUAGGCCACCCGCACGCGCUCGUUCCCUCGUUCGUUCAGCAAAGAUCACGAAUGUGAUUCUACUUACAUAUCGUUUGUGUGCGUGUAUAUAUAUAUAUAUAUAUAUAUAUAUAUAUAUA